GAUGAAGAACGUAGCGAAAUGCGAUACGUAAUGUGAAUUGCAGAAUUCAGUGAAUCAUCGAGUCUUUGAACGCACAUUGCGCCCCCUGGUAUUCCGGGGGGCAUGCCUGUCCGAGCGUCAUUGCUGCCCUCAAGCGCGGCUUGUGUGUUGGGCCUCCGUCCUCCUCCCGGGGGACGGGCCCGAAAGGCAGCGGCGGCACCGCGUCCGGUCCUCGAGCGUAUGGGGCUUCGUCACCCGCUCUUGUAGGCCCGGCCGGCGCUUGCCGACACAUCAAUCUUUUUUCCAGGUUGACCUCGGAUCAGGUAGGGAUACCCGCUGAACUUAAGCAUAUCAUAAGCGGAGGA
rnacentral:misc_RNA from 1 species